AUUGAACGCUGGCGGCAGGCUUAACACAUGCAAGUCGAGCGGAUGAAGGGGGCUUGCUCCUGGAUUCGGCGGCGGACGGGUGAGUAAUGCCUAGGAAUCUGCCUGGCAGUGGGGGAUAACGUCGGGAAACGGCCCCUAAUCCCGCUUAGGUCCUGAGGGAGAAAGUGGGGGAUCUUGGGUCCUCCCGCUUUCGUAGUAGCUUGGGUCGGAUUAGCUAGUUGGUGGGGUAAAGGCCUACCAAGGCGACGAUCCGUAACUGGUCUGAGAGGAUGAUCAGUCACACUGGAACUGAGACACGGUCCAGACUCCUACGGGAGGCAGCAGUGGGGAAUAUUGGACAAUGGGCGAAAGCCUGAUCCAGCCAUGCCGCGUGUGUGAAGAAGGUCUUCGGAUUGUAAAGCACUUUAAGUUGGGAGGAAGGGCAGUAAGUUAAUACCUUGCUGUUUUGACGUUACCAACAGAAUAAGCACCGGCUAACUUCGUG
rnacentral:rRNA from 1 species